GUAUUGAAGAAAAAAUGCAGGUUAAACUUGUUGUUAAAAUGAAGUUAAUGUAAUUUCACAAACAGUAGAGUUUAACUUAAUGAGUUUUUCCAUUAACAAGAAUUUCUUAAAAUAAUAAUGUAUGGAUAUCAUUUGGAAAGUGACAUGAAAUGUUGUUAAAAAGUGAUGCAUACAAGUGUUUCAGAAGUCUGUCUAGGAAUAGAACAACAACUGAAGCUGACCAGUUGAUGGAAGAUACUGCAGAGUUUGGCAGGGAAAUAACCCAAGACAGCAAAGCGGCUCUUUUGGCGCAUUUACCAAGAGGACUAACAUGGCCACAAAUUCAUGAGAUCAUGCAGGAGCCGCACAGUAUAACAGCAGUACAAGUUCUAUAAAAGAUCCACGACCUACUGAAGCCCAGCUAAUUAACAAAAAAGUUUUUAAAAACUGUAAUUUUAUCCCACCUGGGUACUUAUAAUUUACUAAGCUGCCUUCACAAGUUUUAGACUUGCAAUUAUAUUUUAAACUGUCACUUGGAAAGUAAUACAUGUACAUGCAUUCAUGUUCUGAAUUUCUUUGAACAAUAAAAUUAUAUAAAAGUAUUUUAAUGAAAUUGAGCACCUAAAUUGCAUUAAAGUGAAAGUAGCUGAGAAAAAUAGUAUCCUUUAUUGUUCUCAUGGGCAGCUACAUAUAUUGUGACAAACAUGAAGUAGCUAAAAUAACUUAAAUUUUUCAUUUUGUUUCUUGUAUAUCGUUUGUACAGGGUUCGUGAAUUGUUACUGUAUAUUACUUGACUUGCUUGUAUUUUGUUACUUUGAAUACAUGUUGUUAAGGUUGCAUUAUACUUUUUAACUUUUAAAGUAGCGCCUGUUCUGUUAUGUAAGGCCCUGAUUUAUGAUAAUGGACCUAGAGGCUUUGUAAGCAUGUAUUAAACAACACUUGUUUGAUCUGAAUAAUUUGUUAAAUAAAUGUAACACAAUUUGUAAUCUGAUGUUAUAUUUUGAUGAAUUGUGAACAAAAUAAUACAUCGAAGAAACUAA